UACGAAGGGGGCUAGCGUUGCUCGGAAUCACUGGGCGUAAAGGGCGCGUAGGCGGCCAAGUAAGUUGGGGGUGAAAGCCCGUGGCUCAACCACGGAAUUGCCUUCGAUACUGCUUGGCUUGAGACCGGAAGAGGUGAGUGGAACUGCGAGUGUAGAGGUGAAAUUCGUAGAUAUUCGGAGGAACACCAGUGGCGAAGGCGGCUCACUGGUCCGGUACUGACGCUGAGGUGCGAAAGCGUGGGGAGCAAACAGG
rnacentral:rRNA from 1 species